AGCGAACGCUGGCGGCAGGCCUAACACAUGCAAGUCGAACGGAUCCUUCGGGAUUAGUGGCGGACGGGUGAGUAACACGUGGGAACGUGCCCUUUGGUUCGGAACAACUCAGGGAAACUUGAGCUAAUACCGGAUGUGCCCUUCGGGGGAAAGAUUUAUCGCCAUUGGAGCGGCCCGCGUCGGAUUAGCUAGUUGGUGGGGUAAAGGCCCACCAAGGCGACAAUCCGUAGCUGGUCUGAGAGGAUGAUCAGCCACAUUGGGACUGAGACACGGCCCAAACUCCUACGGGAGGCAGCAGUGGGGAAUCUUGCGCAAUGGGCGAAAGCCUGACGCAGCCAUGCCGCGUGAAUGAUGAAGGUCUUAGGAUUGUAAAAUUCUUUCACCGGGGACGAUAAUGACGGUACCCGGAGAAGAAGCCCCGGCUAACUUCGUGCCAGCCGCCGCCGUAAUAC
rnacentral:rRNA from 1 species